GGUUGACCUGCCGGAACUGACUGCUAUCGGAUUGGUACUAAGCCAUGCGAGUCUUGUAGCAAUACAAGGCGGACGGCUCAGUAAACACGUAGUCAACCUAAACUCGUAGGACGUAGGAUAAAACCUCGGGAAAAACUGAGAAAAUAAACCACGAAUAGAAUCCAUUNNAUGCCUGCGAAUGUNGCUUAUGGGGUCCAACAUAAGUUUAACUGGGCAUGGAGAUGGGGAACUGUCGGNCUAAUCAGGCUUGGUUGGGUGGAGGGUAAUGGCGGCCCACCAAGGGCCUAAUUAACAGGGGUACGGGCGGCUCUGGAAGAAGGGGAAGAAAAGCCCCGGGGACGACAUGGGGGGUCACUGGCGAGACCACCGGGGGAACC
rnacentral:rRNA from 1 species